UGCUUGUCGUCCUCGCUCUCGUGGCUACUGCCUCAGCCGGCUACGGCUUUGGCUACGGUGGAUAUGGAGGUUACGGCUUGGGCUAUGGUGGCUACGGAGGUUACGGCUUGGGCUAUGGUGGCUACGGACUUGGAUUUGGCAUUGGCCGCACCUACUACUUCGACAACCAGAGGGCAGCGCCUUACUUCGGAUACGGUGGAUACGGGGGAUAUGGUGGCUUCGGCGGAUACGGUCUCGGAUUUAAGGGAUUCUACGGCUAAUGGAUUCGGCGGCGAAUGCUGAAACAACUGAAAACCCACGUGUGACGGACGACCAUUGACCAGCGAGCUUUGUGUUAUGUGUGACUAUUUCCAAUAAAUGUGCCUCAGCAGC